rnacentral:rRNA from 1 species
CAGUAGCCGCGGUAAUACGAAGGGUGCAAGCGUUACUCGGAAUUACUGGGCGUAAAGCGCACGCAGGCGGUCUGUCAAGUCGGAUGUGAAAUCCCCGGGCUCAACCUGGGAACUGCAUCCAAAACUGGCGAGCUAGAGUAUGGUAGAGGGUGGUGGAAUUUCCUGUGUAGCGGUGAAAUGCGUAGAUAUAGGAAGGAACAUCAGUGGCGAAGGCGACCACCUGGACUGAUACUGACACUGAGGUGCGAAAGCGUGGGGAGCAAACAGGAUUAGAUACCCCGGUAGUCCCUGUCUCUUAUAC